GGUCUUUUUUUGCAAGACAAACUCCAUAUAUUGAAGUUGCUGGGAAACCAGCUAUGGCGAUAAACGACUGCCGGAAUAAACCUUUCGGACCCGGGGGCGGUACCCGGCGCCUCCACAAAGCGGGCGAAUGCGAACGCGCGCUUCUGAUGGGGGGCGAAAUAGGAUC
rnacentral:tmRNA from 1 species